ensembl:lncRNA
CCUCACAGCACCAGACUGUUGUCUGUGAAGCCUAGUAACCUCCCAGCACCAGACUGUUGUCUGUGAAGCCUAGUAACCUCCCAGCCCCAGACUGUUGUCUGUGAAGCCUAGUAACCUCAGAGCACCAGACUGUUGUCUGUGAAGCCUAGUAACCUCACAGCACCAGACUGUUGUCUGUGAAGCCUAGUAACCUCCCAGCACCAGACUGUUGUCUGUGAAGCCUAGUAACCUCACAGCACCAGACUGUUGUCUGUGAAGCCUAGUAACCUCCCAGCACCAGACUACCCACAGACAGAACUGGGCAUCAUAGCAUCAGAAGAGGAAGACCUGACAUUUUCAGCCACUAACACAGAAGGACCAUUGUUACACUUUCCUUUUUUUAAUCCAUGUUAGUUGUUGUGGCAGAGAAUCACUCAGGACCACAAAGGUUCUGAGCUGCCCCUCCCUGUGCCUGAGUAGAAAGGGCCCCCUGUCUGUCUCGGCUGUAAUACCAGUCCAGGGGAGGGUACUAGGUAGAAAGGGCCCCCUGUCUGUCUCAGCUGUAAUACCAGUCCAGGGGAGGGUACUAGGUAGAAAGGGCCCCCUGUCUGUCUCGGCUGUAAUACCAGUCCAGGGGAGGGUACUAGGUAGAAAGGGCCCCCUGUCUGUCUCGGCUGUAAUACCAGUCCAGGGGAGGGCACUAGGUAGAAAGGGCCCCCUGUCUGUCUCGGCUGUAAUACCAGUCCAGGGGAGGGUACUAGGUAGAAAGGGUCCCCUGUCUGUCUCAGCUGUAAUGCCAGUCCAGGGGAGGGUACUAGGUAGAAAGGGCCCCCUGUCUGUCUCAGCUGUAAUACCAGUCCAGGGGAGGGUACUAGGUAGAAAGGGCCCCCUGUCUGUCUCGGCUGUAAUACCAGUCCAGGGGAGGGCACUAGGUAGAAAGGGCCCCCUGUCUGUCUCAGCUGUAAUGCCAGUCCAGGGGAGGGUACUAGGUAGAAAGGGCCCCCUGUCUGUCUCAGCUGUAAUACCAGUCCAGGGGAGGGUACUAGGUAGAAAGGGUCCCCUGUCUGUCUCGGCUGUAAUACCAGUCCAGGGGAGGGUACUAGGUAGAAAGGGCCCCUGUCUGUCCCAGCUGUAACACCAGUCCAGGGGAGGGUACUAGGUAGAAAGGGCCCCUGUCUGUCUCAGCUGUAAUACCAGUCCAGGGGAGGGCACUAGGUAGAAAGGGCCCCCUGUCUGUCUCAGUUAUAAUACCAGUCCAGGGGAGGGUACUAGGUAGAAAGGGCCCCCUGUCUGUCUCAGUUAUAAUACCAGUCCAGGGGAGGGUACUAGGUAGUUACAGACAGACAAGUUGUAAGUUGUGUAGUCCAGGACAGGUCAGUUACAGACAGACAGGUUGUGUAGUCUAGGACAGGUCAGUUCCACUAGGAGAUAGAUGGUUAUAGACAGACAGGUUGUGUAGUCUAGGACAGGUCAGUUACACUAGGAGAUAGAUGGUUACAGACAGACAGGCUGUGUAGUCUAGGACAGGUCAGUUCCACUAGGAGAUAGGUGGUUACAGACAGACAGGUUGUGUAGUCUAGGACAGGUCAUUUACAGACAGACAGGUCAGUUCCACUAGGAGAUAGAUGGUUACAGACAGACAGGUCAGUUCCACUAGGAGAUAGAUGGUUACAGACAGACAGGUCAGUUCCACUAGGAGAUAGAUGGUGACAGACAGACAGGUCAGUUCCACUAGGAGAUAGAUGGUGACAGACAGGUUGUGUAGUCUAGGACAGGUCAGUUACAGACAGACAGGUUGUGUAGUCUAGGACAGGUCAGUUCCACUAGGAGAUAGAUGGUGACAGACAGACAGGUUGUGUAGUCUAGGACAGGUCAGUUACAGACAGACAGGUUGUGUAGUCUAGGACAGGUCAGUUCCACUAGGAGAUAGAUGGUUACAGACAGACAGGUUGUGUAGUCUAGGACAGGUCAGUUACAGACAGACAGGUUGUGUAGUCUAGGACAGGUCAGUUCCACUAGGAGAUAGAUGGUUACAGACAGACAGGUCAGUUCCACUAGGAGAUAGAUGGUUACAGACAGACAGUGUAGUAGCAAUAUAAAGAUGAUUAUAAAAUGUGAGAUUAAAGACCUGACGUUCAUACUAAUAUUCAGCCAGUUAACCACAGUCCUGGAGUCAGAUGUUAACUCCUGUCUCUAAAUAGUGGAGGUUAGGGCCCCGUUAACCACAGUCCUGGAGUCAGAUGUUAACUCCUGUCUCUAAAUAGUGGAGGUUAGGGCCCCGUUAACCACAGUCCUGGAGUCAGAGGUUAACUAAAGGACUCC